UUGAACGCUGGCGGCAGGCCUAACACAUGCAAGUCGAACGGUAACAGGAAGCAGCUUGCUGUUUCGCUGACGAGUGGCGGACGGGUGAGUAAUGUCUGGGAAACUGCCUGAUGGAGGGGGAUAACUACUGGAAACGGUAGCUAAUACCGCAUAACGUCGCAAGACCAAAGAGGGGGACCUUCGGGCCUCUUGCCAUCGGAUGUGCCCAGAUGGGAUUAGCUAGUAGGUGGGGUAACGGCUCACCUAGGCGACGAUCCCUAGCUGGUCUGAGAGGAUGACCAGCCACACUGGAACUGAGACACGGUCCAGACUCCUACGGGAGGCAGCAGUGGGGAAUAUUGCACAAUGGGCGCAAGCCUGAUGCAGCCAUGCCGCGUGUAUGAAGAAGGCCUUCGGGUUGUAAAGUACUUUCAGCGGGGAGGAAGGGAGUAAAGUUAAUACCUUUGCUCAUUGACGUUACCCGCAGAAGAAGCACCGGCUAACUCCGUGCCAGCAGCCGCGGUAAUACGGAGGGUGCAAGCGUUAAUCGGAAUUACUGGGCGUAAAGCGCACGCAGGCGGUUUGUUAAGUCAGAUGUGAAAUCCCCGGGCUCAACCUGGGAACUGCAUCUGAUACUGGCAAGCUUGAGUCUCGUAGAGGGGGGUAGAAUUCCAGGUGUAGCGGUGAAAUGCGUAGAGAUCUGGAGGAAUACCGGUGGCGAAGGCGGCCCCCUGGACGAAGACUGACGCUCAGGUGCGAAAGCGUGGGGAGCAAACAGGAUUAGAUACCCUGGUAGUCCACGCCGUAAACGAUGUCGACUUGGAGGUUGUGCCCUUGAGGCGUGGCUUCCGGAGCUAACGCGUUAAGUCGACCGCCUGGGGAGUACGGCCGCAAGGUUAAAACUCAAAUGAAUUGACGGGGGCCCGCACAAGCGGUGGAGCAUGUGGUUUAAUUCGAUGCAACGCGAAGAACCUUACCUGGUCUUGACAUCCACGGAAGUUUUCAGAGAUGAGAAUGUGCCUUCGGGAACCGUGAGACAGGUGCUGCAUGGCUGUCGUCAGCUCGUGUUGUGAAAUGUUGGGUUAAGUCCCGCAACGAGCGCAACCCUUAUCCUUUGUUGCCAGCGGUCCGGCCGGGAACUCAAAGGAGACUGCCAGUGAUAAACUGGAGGAAGGUGAGGAUGACGUCAAGUCAUCAUGGCCCUUACGACCAGGGCUACACACGUGCUACAAUGGCGCAUACAAAGAGAAGCGACCUCGCGAGAGCAAGCGGACCUCAUAAAGUGCGUCGUAGUCCGGAUUGGAGUCUGCAACUCGACUCCAUGAAGUCGGAAUCGCUAGUAAUCGUAGAUCAGAAUGCUACGGUGAAUACGUUCCCGGGCCUUGUACACACCGCCCGUCACACCAUGGGAGUGGGUUGCAAAAGAAGUAGGUAGCUUAACCUUCGGGAGGGCGCUUACCACUUUGUGAUUCAUGACUGGGGUG
rnacentral:rRNA from 1 species